rnacentral:rRNA from 1 species
GAUGAACGCUGGCGGCGUGCCUAAUACAUGCAAGUCGAGCGAACGGACGAGAAGCUUGCUUUUCUGAUGUUAGCGGCGGACGGGUGAGUAACACGUGGAUAACCUACCUAUAAGACUGGGAUAACUUCGGGAAACCGGAGCUAAUACCGGAUAAUAUUUUGAACCGCAUGGUUCAAAAGUGAAAGACGGUCUUGCUGUCACUUAUAGAUGGAUCCGCGCUGCAUUAGCUAGUUGGUAAGGUAACGGCUUACCAAGGCAACGAUGCAUAGCCGACCUGAGAGGGUGAUCGGCCACACUGGAACUGAGACACGGUCCAGACUCCUACGGGAGGCAGCAGUAGGGAAUCUUCCGCAAUGGGCGAAAGCCUGACGGAGCAACGCCGCGUGAGUGAUGAAGGUCUUCGGAUCGUAAAACUCUGUUAUUAGGGAAGAACAUAUGUGUAAGUAACUGUGCACAUCUUGACGGUACCUAAUCAGAAAGCCACGGCAAACUACGG